AGUGCAGAAGAAUGGAGAUGCAUGUGAGAUCCUCCCUGGUGGUUCUGUGGCUUCAUUUCUGCUGUGUGAGUGGAGAAAGCCAAGUGGAACAGAGUCCUCCAGCCCUGGUGGUCCUGGAGGGAGAGAAUUGCACAUUUCAAUGCAAUUAUACAGUAAGCCCCGUUAACAACCUAAGGUGGUACACACAGGACCCUGGGAGAGGUCCUGUUCCCCUGAUCACCAUGACUAACAGUGACAACAAAAAGUCAGAUGGACGGUACACAGCGACUGUGGAUGCAACUGCCAAGCACAGCUCCCUGCACCUCACCGCUGCCCAGCUCGGCGACCCAGCCUUCUACAUCUGUGUGGCGGGUGCACCGUGCUCCCCAGGCACUCGCACUCUGUACCCAAACCUGCACCGUGAGGUUGUUAAGGAGCAGUUUUUGAAGUGUUGUGUGUAAUUUCAAAGUGAGCUAGCGCUUCUCUUUCAGACAUGGCUGAAUUUGAACUUGAGUCUAGGUAUCUACUAACAUAGAGGUAUCCUCACUCAACACAGAAAGUUAACUGCUCACCUGGUUAUUCCCAAGGGUAAGACCAUCAUAUUGCAUUACUACCCUGAAGUAGAUGAUAAUUUUGAGUAAAAGAGAGAGGUCAGCUCUGGGUGGGGUCCAGCAAAUAGUAGAAUGUUGACUGAGUAUAAAAGCAAAAUGUUGACGAAGCUGAUGACAAUAUUUGGUAAGACCGCUAAUGUCUUUUGUGUUUGUUUUCUUUAUCUCACAGGCAUUAUGCACAGAAAAUGACAAUACCUUCCUUCUUGUAUAAUUUAAUGUAGAUUAUAAGAAGAAUCCAUACAAGAUUUAAGAAGCAGGGUCCGGAUGUAAGAUAAUUAUGCUGAGCUACAGUGUCAAUAACUAAAUUCAUAUAUAUCAGCUCACUGAGCAGGUUUUUGCACUGA